UGGAAGAAAGAGACCACUGCCAGUCAGGGUCACCCAACUCUGAGCAGACAAGGGCUGCCAAUAUACAGGUGCUUGGGGGAUAGAGGAAGCUGCAUCUGGAAGAGGAGAAGCAACCUGCCUGAAGUCUUCCAGAGCCUGGAUUCAAACCUUGGCCCUUCUCUGCAGACAGGAAGACACUCUCUGCCUUGCUUGCGUACUUCCCUGCUCUUUGCUAACCCAGGGUAACUCAGGGGCUCCUAUAUGUCCUGGUGGGUGGACGCCUGCUGCUCCAGACCCAUUUGGGGCCAGCUCCUUGGCAGUGCCUCGCCCACCACAUGAGGGGCCUGCCCUGCCAGAGUGGGAGCUAGAGCCAGAGGCUUCUUUGUAAUUUGCUCUGCCAGCCCGACCUCCUUGUCUCUCUCCCAGCUGCAAUGGAAAAUCUGAGAAGGUGGUCUGCUUUUCUGGCAGACGUCGGCCCCAGCAGGCUGGGAUGGUGCAGCUCAGCAGGGACAGGCCCGCUGCAGCCUGGCAAAGGGACCGCUGCUAGGUCGGAAACAUAUAUGGGGGAAUUAGCAGGGAGGAAGACUGUUAAUUCUGUAACAGCAAGAGUCGUACUAAAUAUCUUGUCUGCAACAAACAACAAAGAUGCUUCUCACCUGCCGGUGACAUUUGUUAAUAUAUUUAAUAACAAUAACAGAAGCUACUAUUGAAGGAGACCCUGCUCUGGGCCAAGAGCUGAACUCAGCACUUUUUAGACAUUGACAUCCCCCAGGGUGUGAAGUAUUAUUGUCCCAUUUUUCAGAACCAAAACUGAAGCUCCAAGAGAUGGUGUGAAUUGUGUGAGGUCACACAGCAAGAACACAGCUGAGCAGGACUGGAUGCAACUCCUCCUGAUUCUGAAGAUCAGCUCUUUCCUCCCCCCGACACACGGGGUCAUUUUAGCCAAAUGCCCAGCCUGUGAAGAAGCUGAACCAUCCCUCUCUUCAAGUCAGAGUUACUCAAGGGCAAAGAGUAGAACAGUUUUAAUUCACUUUGCUUCCUUCCCUCUCCUUUUGAAUUGGAAAUGUCCCCAAAACCAUGUAGCCCUCUGCAACUUUCCUCUCAAGAAGCUCUGGAUAUGUUACUAGCCCAUUUCACAGAUGAGGAGACUGAGGCCUGCAGAAAGAAAGUAGCUGCACAACUGCCACGCUCAGUAAGACUCCUCCCCUGUGUGGCUCUCAGAUGGAUGCCUGUUUCCUGCAGCUCCACAAUAGGGUGAACCUGUGCUGAGAGAACCACGAAGCUUUUGCUUUUGUGCUUUAUAUAGCCUAACACUAUAGGAGUCACAGCAGCACACUGCUGUGUAUGGGUCUGCCGUUCACUCAUUCACUCAUUCAAAAACCCUCCAUGCAAACCAUCUGUGAGCUCUGGCUGGGCACUAGAGACUUCACAAGGGAUCAGACACACCUUGACUACCAGGAGCUCAGAAUCUACGUGAUCAACGUGCACAUCCCCAGAUCCGACUCGAACAUGGAGUGUGAGGAAAGACAGUUCCAUCAGAUCCAGAGGACACACAGAAGGAGACCCCAGGCUGCCAGGAGUCAGGGAAGGAAACAUUUGAGCUGAGAGCUGAAGGAGGAGCUGAUUUUGCUCAGGUGGACAAGCUGGGAAAGACACCCCAGGCCAAGAGCACAGUAUCUGCCACACCCAGAGGCAGGAAAGACAAUAGGGACCCCUAAGCCAAUUGGGGUGGCCAAAGCACAGAGCAGCAUCCUGGACCCAAUACCCCACCAGCAUCUUAGGACCAUCUCCUCACCUAAGUGGGUCAUGACCAGAAGAACCCUACACAGGGGGUGGACUUGAGGAUGGCUGUUACUUUUAGGGAAACAACUUCCUAAAUAAAGUUCUUACCAAGGAGAAGACCCUACCCUAAGCCCUGAAGUCCAGGCAGCCUCUACGGCUUUGGACCAGCCGGUGACGACUUCUCUUGGUCAUUAAUCACAGCAUGUGCUAAUGUUUGAUAAAUUGCCCAACAGUUGCAUUAGCUAAUAACUCCCCGAACAAAACCAGAGAGUUCAUCUGUUUUUAUAAGACGCCCAAGAGCAUCCUGGGAACAGGCACGGUGGUCGUGAAUAAAAGAGAAACAUUCAUUUAUGGUAAUUGGUUUCAGCUCCUCACUUGGCUGCUUGUCCUGACCUAAAUGUAUCCAGUUGUUCCCUCUGCCUGGCUCUGGUUUGGGGGUCACUCCUAAUGGUUUAAUUCAACAAAAAAUGUCUGCCAUUUCCUGUAACCUCUGUCUUUUUUCACCCUCCUCCCAAACGGUUUUCUUGCAAGCAGCAUCUCUGCAAGUCGCUCCCAGAGCUGUUUCCUUCUCGGGGAACAAAGUCAAG
rnacentral:lncRNA from 1 species